rnacentral:rRNA from 1 species
GACGAACGCUGGCGGCAUGCCUAAUACAUGCAAGUCGAGCGAACAGGUGAAGUGCUUGCACUUCUGACGUUAGCGGCGAACGGGUGAGUAACACGUAAGGAAUCUACCUAUAAGCGGGGGAUAACAUUCGGAAACGGGUGCUAAUACCGCAUAAUAUCUUCUUCCGCAUGGAAGAAGAUUGAAAGACGGCUCUGCUGUCACUUAUAGAUGACCUUGCGGUGCAUUAGUUAGUUGGUGGGGUAACGGCCUACCAAGACGAUGAUGCAUAGCCGACCUGAGCGGGUGAUCGGCCACAUUGGGACUGGGACACGGCCCAAACUCCUACGGGAGGCAGCAGUAGGGAAUCUUCCGCAAUGGGCGAAAGCCUGACGGAGCAAUGCCGCGUGAGUGAAGAAGGCCUUCGGGUCGUAAAACUCUGUUAUAAGAGAAGAACAAAUUGUAGAGUAACUGCUACAGUCUUGACGGUAUCUUAACAGAAAGCCACGGCUAACUACGUGCCAGCAGCCGCAGUAA